GCCGUUACUCGUUGGGAAAGUCUCUUACCGCUUGCAGCAUCUUCCUCUGGCUGUACAAGAAGAAGAAGAAGGUAAAGAGUUGACUAACAAACCAAAAACUUCUCUCUUUGGUUUGUUGACACAUUAUGAACCUUUGAUGGACAUCACACCUGUCCGGAUAAGCCCCGCCCCUUCAUACAUGAUGUCAGUGAACUUAUUGGCCCCGUCCUGAGAUCUGUCUUCCUCAAAGUGCGCUUAAGGGCCAAAGUGUGCAAAGGACCGAGGCGUGAAGGUUCUGUUCACGCUGUUUUUAACUCCACUUCUGUUUCGGUUCAGGAGAUCCAACAUGGAGGAGAGAGUAACGCUCAGAAACACAGCGGCGUCUUUAUUUUCCAUCAUGGCAGCUGCAGGAAGCAGGAAGACGUUCCAGCAGCUCAACGAUCUCCAUCUUCAUUUAUCUUCAUGCUUAUUUCACAGCGAUCCGCCGAUUUUCAGCCCACGCUUGUUAAAGGGUUAAUAACCCAGCUGAAGAUUUAUAUAAGAAUCCUUCAGUCUAAUCCUGUAAAUUAAAGCUAAUCAGUGAGAUUAAAGUCUGAUAUUUAAGAGAUUAGAUCUGAGGGUGUGUGUGUAGAUUCUGGGAUCCUUCGAGUACCUGAAGCUCUGGGUGGAUGUUUGAUUUACUCGCCCCCGAGUUCGUCUUAAAUCUGUUUCUUCUUCCUGGUUUUAUUCUCAAUCCAGACAAACAGUGAGCGAUACGAAGACGUGACGAUUGCUGUUUUUUUCCUUAAUUAGAGAAACGAAGCGUGUGUGUGUGUGUGGAUGUGUGUGUUUGUGUGUGUUUAUCUGACUGUUUCAGACCUUCAGCUGCUUCCUGACCGACUGAGACGAUCAGCUCCAGUCGUCCUUAUCAAACCCUCUGAUUGGGCUUUUAUCACUUUCAGAUAUGGGGUCUGUCUGUUUGACUCACUUCUCCUUCUAUAAAAGGUCUUCCUCUUAUUUCUCCUCCUCUGCUUCCCUUUUUCCUCUUCAUCCUCCUCAGCCGAUGGGCGGGGCUUGUCCCUCCUCCUCCUCCUCUUCCUCCUCUUCCUCCUCUUCCUUGUCAGGUUGUGGAGCUCUGCAGGGAUUUGUGCUCUGAGUGAAGGAUUAAAGUUUCUCUGUUUUAUUUGCUGAAGUUUAACUCUGUCUGAGCCAUGUGAAUCAUCCCUGACACACCUUUAACCUGUCUGUGUGUGUGUCUCUGUGUGUGUGUGUGUGUGUGUGUGUUAACCUGUUAUGUGACUUAUGUAUUUUUGGUUUUGUUUUGAAUCUUAAAGUAGGUUUCAGAAUCGACCAUUAUAUAACAUCAGAGUUCGAUGGUUUUCAGUCGUUUAAAGUCUGAAUUUAAUUGAAAAACAACAAUCAGCUGCUCAACAGUUCAGCGUCUCCUUUGUCCUGUUUUGGGAUCAUAUGAAGGUCUUCAACUCUCAACUUUCAACUUUAUUUCAUUUAUAUGGCAGUUUUCCUACAAAGUUGUAACACAAAGUGCCUUACAAAGCAUAAAAAGAAAAUGAAACAUUAAAAUCCCCAAGAAAAGCCCAAACCUCCCAACCGCACAAUUAUACCCAUACACACACCCGUGCACAUAGACAUACAUUUCCACACACACAACUUCACAUACAUACGCAUCUACACAGUUAGCAGCUGAUGGUGAGGAGACAUGACGAGGCUACCUUUGGGGGCCACGUCGACCAGGAAGCAUCCCGGCCCAUUGCUGCAGGGGGCGCCGUCACAGGGACCACCAGCCCGGGCAGACAGGAGGCUCCACUCCAAGGUGUAGAGCUCUCUGGUUCCACCCGGGCCAGAGCUGUCCCCAGAACGCCGCCCCCACCAACAGACCAGAACCCGCUCCCGGUGAAGCAGCCCCCAGGAGGAAACACUGGAAAAACUGAGGGACUAAAAGAAUAAAAUAAGACAUAAAAGUAUAGAAACUAAAAUUGAAGGAAUAAAACUGUAAUCGCUAAGACAGACCCAGUAAAUAAUGUAAGAUAAAAUGAUUCUGUGCACUGUAAAACACGCCAGAUUAAAAUAAUAAUAAGAAAAGUGAUAGAUUGAAGUAUAAAAUAGAACGGUAAUAAAAAGUUUUAGAUAGUAAAACAAUAAAAGUGAGCAUAAAAGGGAUUAAAAGAGUUAAACUAGUCAAUUAAAAGCCUGAUUAAAAAGAUGAGUCUUCAGCCUCUUUUUAAAAAUAUCAACAUUCUCUGCAGUCUUCCCUGGAAAAGUCUUUGUCUGGAUGGCAGCAGAUGUUGACCUGGAGAUAUUAUUCAGCAUUAUGCUUAAAUCUGAGGAUGUAGCGUCUGUAAUUUCCAGUUCUACGUUGAAAGGACAACUGGACUUACUUGUCCAAUGAACCAACCAGGACAGAGACUAAGACAGGGACUAUAAACACACUGGGAAACGAGCAACAGGUGAGGCAGACGAGACACAGGUGAAACUCAUGAGUGAUUAACAAAGGAGGGAAAACAAGGGAAGUAAAACCAGACUAGAAACACAAGGAAUCAACUCCUACAAAAUAAAACAGGAAAUAAACACUGAAAACUGAUCGAAAGAAUAAAACACAGAGAACAGGAGGGAAACAGGGACAAAGAUAAACUGAAAACUCACAAGAGAAGAUUUUUUUAGAUACAAUAUUGACAAUAAUUGAUCAAUGUGACGAUCAAAAGUCUGCAGGAUGAGAUUCUUUGUCAGAGGACACUGUUUAAGAAUGACAAGAAGACAAGUUGAACAACAGAGGGCGCCAAAAUCAACACAAACUCCUCACAUGCACUUCAACUUUAUGUCCAUGUUGAAAUGUGUCAACAACAUCAAUCAAAAAUGAGUUUUAUUUAAUUUUUUAUCAAACAAUAGAGUUUUCUCUCCCACUGAGAGGAGACCUCAUGGCCGGCCCAGGACCAGGUGGAGGGAUUAUAUCUCUCACCUGGAAUCCCCCUGGAGGAGCCGGUGGAAGUGGCCGGGGUGAGGGCCAUCUGGGCUUCCCUCCUGAAGCUGCUGCCCCCACGACCCGGAUAAGCGGAAGAAAAUGACGACGACGACGCUAAUGAUUGGCACUUUUCUGUGGAUUGAUUUGGUGUGUCAAACGUGUGAUCAUCUGUGGCAUUUAGGAUAAAUAACCAUCGUUAUGUGUCUCAACCAAUCACAAUCAAGUAUUUCAAACAAAGACAGUCAAGUAAUAACCAAAACUGAUCUUCCUCUCCUUUGACCUAAUUGUCAAACUUUUUGUGAUCUGUAAAAAACUUUUAAAAAUGAGUGAAAUUAAUUAUUAGUUUAAGAAAAAAUGAACCUAAAAGAGAAAGAGAGAAAACUUUUUAUUUGAAACGCUUUAAAUAAAAAAGAGACAAAAAUAAACAAAUGGAUUUUUUAUGGAUUAAAACUGUUUUCUGAUUUUUUUUACAGUGUUUGUUUUUUCCUGAAACUGAGCUGAAAAUCACUGCUGCUCACCCCCUGCUGUGUUUUUGACCUUUGUGCAGUAACAGGAACGUUUCUGAAGGAGUUUGACCUUUGACCUCACAGAAAUGUCGCCCGGCCUCAUUCCUGAGUCCGAGCAGGAUGUAGUCGUUUGUGUGUUUUCUGUGUUUAUGGUGGUGCUGAAGUGGAUCCUGACGGUCCGGCUCUGCAGCAUUGUGCUGGCGAGACGAUACGAUCUGCAGCGAGGACACAAAAGAAGUGACAGGUGAAGACGAAGACGCAAACGACCUUAAAACAAAGAACGCGCAGCUGCUCUCUAAUUCACCCUGUCAGAGUUAUCUGAGGUGUUUUCUAACCUCUUCUGAGCUCGUACACGCCUGAAGCUGCUCCUAGUGAUGAUUGCUCAGGGACUCGGGUGUAGCAGCUCUUUUCCUCACGUGAACCUUCGAACAAAUGUUUCUGGAAACAAGCCGACAGAAGAUUCAGGAUGAUUUCAUGGUGAAUUAAAUCAGUAGGAACGCAGAGAGACGAUAUUUGAUAGAUAAAUAAAGCUUUACACUGAAUAAAGUUUGUUUUUAAUACAAUUUUUAGAUGCCAAAAAGUGACACUAAGGUUCAAAAAUUCAGGUGAACAUUCCUCAUUCGUCACAGUGACGGUGUGAGCUCUUCAGGUACAGGUGUGCGAUACUCUGCAGGUGAGAUGAAAUGAAGAUCAGCUGAUCCUAGUUUCCAUUUAUGAAUCAUCGUCGCUCCAGUCUGGGUAAUGACGUAACACAACAGGAAGCGCCAUAUGAGGUAAAGGGUCACACAACAUGCCUCACCCUCUGAGAGAAGGUGUGCCAAACGAGGAAAAACAAACAUUUUUUUUACCCCGUCCAUCAGCUUUGUGGCAGAAACUAAAAUGCACUUCAUCUGGUUUUUCAUGCUUUUAUUUUGGAGGGUUGGACGGUGGAAAGAGCAGAGCCAGGGAAGAGAGAGAGAGAGAAUCUUGGAUAAGACUGGGACCAGACCUCAAACUCCCCCAAACUCCUGUCCUCUGUCUUUUAUUUUGACACUUUUACUAUCCAAAUGCUUCAUUUUAUGUGUUGUAAAAAAACAUGCUUUUAUUUUGAAACAGUAUUUACAUAGCUCCCAUGUGUUGUGUUGUGUUGUGUUGUGUCUGUGUGUGUUUUGAACAUUAUACCGUGAUAAAUUGACUGACAGCAUUGCAGCAACAUCUCGCGCCUCUUCUUAGGAAGGCCGCAGGAAGUUUGUCAUCACAACAGGCGGAGCGAAAAAGAGAAGCUCGCUGGUUUAGUUAGAAGAAAACUUUAACCCCAGCUGCAAGAAUAGGCUGACAUUAUGAAUUUUUAUUGUAUAACUAUCCUGGAGAGACGAAUAAUGUGGCGUCAAAUCAAAAUCUGACUUUCUCUUUGGAAAUCAUGGACACCAUGUCCUUUGA